UUUUGCACCCUCUUCUUUCUCUGUAUUUUCUUUUUUCUUUUUCUUUUAUGCCCCAGUUGGCUGUUCUGCUGAUUCUCGAGAUACAGCUGAGUGAUCUUCUUUCCUUGCUCAAGAAGUCGGGAAAUCUCGUCAGGAAUCCCUUCAACAUCAUCUUCUUCCGCUUCGAAUACAGGGAAUUCACAAUUGGGAGAUGACGUCAGAUCAUUGUGUUCAAUGGGUUUAAGAAACAACCUGC
rnacentral:lncRNA from 1 species